rnacentral:rRNA from 1 species
CCUACGGGGGGCAGCAGUGAGGAAUAUUGGUCAAUGGACGAGAGUCUGAACCAGCCAAGUAGCGUGAAGGAUGACUGCCCUAUGGGUUGUAAACUUCUUUUAUAUGGGAAUAAAAUGUUCCACGUGUGGGAUUUUGUAUGUACCAUAUGAAUAAGGAUCGGCUAACUCCGUGCCAGCAGCCGCUGUAAUACGGAGGAUCCGAGCGUUAUCCGGAUUUAUUGGGUUUAAAGGGAGCGUAGGUGGAUUGUUAAGUCAGUUGUGAAAGUUUGCGGCUCAACCGUAAAAUUGCAGUUGAAACUGGCAGUCUUGAGUACAGUAGAGGUGGGCGGAAUUCGUGGUGUAGCGGUGAAAUGCUUAGAUAUCACGAAGAACUCCGAUUGCGAAGGUAGUUCACUGGACUGCAACUGACACUGAGGCUCGAAAGUGUGGGUAUCAAACAGGAUUAGAUACCCCAGUAGUC